UACGUAGGGGGCUAGCGUUGUCCGGAUUUAUUGGGCGUAAAGAGCGUGUAGGCGGCCAGGUAGGUCAGCUGUGAAAACUCGAGGCUCAACCUCGAGACGUCGGUUGAAACCACCUGGCUAGAGUCCGGAAGAGGAGAGUGGAAUUCCCGGUGUAGCGGUGAAAUGCGCAGAUAUCGGGAGGAACACCAGUGGCGAAGGCGACUACCUGGCCCAUUCUUGACGCUGAGGCGCGAAAGCUAGGGGAGCGAACGGG
rnacentral:rRNA from 1 species